UGAACCUGCGGAAGGAUCAUUAUUGAAUACGC
rnacentral:rRNA from 2 species